rnacentral:lncRNA from 1 species
AAGGCCCACGAUAGAACAACAUCCAAGAGGAAAGGAUAGGAACGAAUAAGUUAUAAUGUUGAGCAUGCACUGAUUCCCUAGCCUCUAAGCUACACACCGGUAACAAAUUUGAAGCGAAAUGAGGAAAAGAUUUGAGUAACCUAUCGAAGAAGAUGAAGCUGAAGACGGAGACAACAACGAAAUUCAGGUAUGGUUUGGUUCUUUAUCUCUUCCUUCCUUCUGCGUUUCUUCUCUCUUCUUCUUUCUUCUUCGCAUUUCUUGUUGUUGUGUGUGAGACGAGAGGGGUUUAGCUCUUGUUAUUCCAUAGCUUCAAGGUGAGGCUCUGAGCAACAAUGGUGAAAACGAGCUCUAAAGUGAGGUUGAGAGAGAUAGAAACGAGAGCUAUGAGAGUGUGAUUAUGUGAUCUUAUGAUUGAAUGAUGAUGAAGUGAAUUUAUCGACUGAGUUAGCUAAACAAAUAGUUAGUUAGGGUUGGUUAUAAAUGAAUCUGAAAUAAAUUUGGUUGGAAUUUGAGGUUAAUAAGUUUAUGAGUUUGCAGUUAAUUUCAUUUGAAUUUAAGGUAAAUUUCAGUUGAGUUAUUGGCCUGAAUCAAUUUCCUGGAAAAUUCAAUUUCAACUUAAUGUUUUUGUUAAUGCUUAAACCAAAUGUUAGGAGAAGUUAGUUUAGAUUGAUUGUUAGCAUUAUUUUAUUAUUUUUAGUUAGGUUUACAUGUUAAUAUGAAAAAUCAGUGGAGCAAUGCACUGAGUUAAACCGAAUCCCUCAGGAAUUCAACUUUGUAAUCUUCAUGAUUUUGUUAAUGCAGGUGUAUGUACAUUGACUUGAAUUGUUUGUGGAUAUGCAGGGUUUACAUUCUUGGUUUGCAGACUUAUUCAUGGUCUCAUGUUGUAGCUUGUGGCCAUUGUGCAUUGAUAUGGUCUUGACUUGAUUAUUUUGCAGAUUUGCUGCAGAAUUAAGGCAUUGCCCGAGUUUGGACAAGGAUGCAAAUCAAGGCUUUGUCCAUUUCUCAAUCCAAGGCAUCAAGUGAUGUGAUUAGGAUAGGGCAAACCAUGCUAGUGUAAUGUGUGAUGUAAAGCUUGUAAUUGAACCUUGUUUAGAUCAUGCAAAAAUGUAAUACAUCAAGAAACAUGUAAUUGACUUCAACAUGGUGAAUCCUAAUUUAAUCAAAUGCAAUUGUUUUAUUAUGCAUGAAGUAUGAAUAUGAAAUGUGUAUGCUAAUGAUAUCAUGGUUUAUGCCUAAAAAAUGGAAUUUUUGAUUUGUUGACUUUGGU